GGCUCGGUGGUGAAUGGUCCACACCUGUGUUCCAUAUGUCAGCCGCUUCCGCGGGAUAUUAGCAGAGAAGCCUGUUCAAUUCAGGCCCGAGCCA